CCUACGGGUGGCUGCAGUAGGGAAUAUUGCACAAUGGGCGAAAGCCUGAUGGAGCAAAGCCGCGUGCAGGAAGAAGGCCUUAGGGGUGGUAACCGCUUUUAUAAGCGAGAAAUAUGAUGGUAACUGAUGAAGAAGGAACGGCUAACUACGUGCCAGCAGCCGCGGUCAUACGUAGGAUACGAGCAUUAUCCGGAGUGACUGGGUGUAAAGAGUGGCGUAGGUGGGGUAAUAAGUAGCUAGUGUAAACUGGUGGCUCAACCAUUCAGACUAUUAGCUAAACUGUUAAUCUCGAGGUCGUUAGGGGUAACUGGAAUUCGUAGUGUAGGAGUGAAAUCCGUAGAUAUUAGCAGGAACACCGAUAGCGUAGGCAGCUUACUGGGACCGUUCUGACGCUCAGGCACGAAAGCGUAGGGAGCAAACAGGAUUAGAUACCCUUGUAGUC
rnacentral:rRNA from 1 species